GGCUUUUCCCUGGCCUUUUCCUAAUUGUUCCCACUUACUAGGCCUCAUAAAUUAUGAAUAAAUGUAUAUAAUUAGCUCAACUUGAAACAGGAAAAGGGCUUUUACCCAAAUUUGGGUCAAAUAUCUUAAUUGGCAUUUUGCAAGAACCCUGCCUAUAUGGGCAGCAUGGGAAGGAACCAGGCCUCUCUGGCCGUGGCCAUCCCCGGCUGAGCCUCAGGCCAAGCAGCACUGUGCCAGCAAAUGUGCUGGGGGGGUGGGGCAUGUCCCUACCAUCCCCGCUCUCCAUCUUCUCCAACACACGUAUACCCAGCAGCCCUCAGUACUGAGCUGCGGAGUUACUCAGAACCGUGGACUAGAGAAUACGCAACAGCCAGGAGUGGAACAGACAAAACUGACCACUGUCCUCCCAGAGGGUCUCCGGAGCCAUCCUCAUUACCCGACAGUCUGUUGUGGCAUGACGGUGCUGUCUCCAGUUACUGAUUUCCACACAGCAAAUGCCCCCGAAGUUCAAGAGCAGCCAUGCUGCCGUGGCAAGAUGCUCACGUGGAGCCAUGAAGCACUUCUCAUGGGGGAAAAGGCAAGCUAGCACUCUACUCAGGAAAGAGAAGAGUCCUAGGACAAGGCAUCUACUUGGGACCUGGAACACGAUCUUCAAGAAUAAGAAGGACCACGGCAUGGACUGUGAUGAGGCCAGCUGGAUGCUUCUGGGCCUCGCUGGGAGUCUGAAGGUGAGAGGGGACAUGCUGCCUUAACCCUGAAUCUCUGCGGUGAGCCAGCCACGCCAGCCACCCCAGCCACGCCAGGUCUGAAUCACCCAUGCUCCACAGCUGCUGCCACUAAAGGAGCCAAGGGCCUUCCUGGCGGAAUGGAGUGAAGGAAUUGCUCCGUGUGUAGGAGACGAAGAUGGAAUUAUGCCCUCAGCCAUGUCGUUCGCUGAGCCUUGGAAUCUCCACCCCUACCUCUCUGCAACGGGACCGCUAGGCCUUCCUGGGCUCUGGCCUUGUCCUAGCCUGUUUGGCGAAGUAUUUUGGGUGGGAAAGUGUUCGGGAAAACUAUGAAAUGCUUUCCGUAGGAAAGGUUGUUAAAUUCUUCUCCAGCCACCAAGGACUAGCAUGGGUGUAAGCACCGUUCCGUUGGGGGCUUGAGUUUUUCCUGAGACAGGUUCUCAAUGUAUACCCAGAUUGGACUCAGACUCUUGGUCUCCAGCCUCCUAGCCUCUUGAAGACUAGCAUUAGAA